rnacentral:lncRNA from 1 species
GGGAGGUGCAAUGAUGACUUGAUAUGUUUCAACAUAUCCCACAUCUUGUGCCUCUCGUUUGUUUGUGCCUCCCUGUAAACACAAGUCAAACGCCACUGGUCACCAUCCCCUUCCUGGACUAAUGCAUCAAUGUGGUACUGAGAGUAAGGCAGCAAAGUCACACUUAUAUUAUUAUUCCAAAAAAUAUAUAAUCCGCCACUGCGGCCCGAACUACUGACAGCAAAAGAAUUAUCAAAACCAAGAGUCUGCUUCAG